rnacentral:misc_RNA from 1 species
UUAGCUGUUUGAGAUCUGUUGAUAGAUGCCAAGUAUAAAAAGCCUUGUAUCUAAUGUAUUUUUAACUGCAUUAAAUUGCGGAGACAAUGGAAUCAAUUUCAGGAUAGAAAUACUUGGUAUUGAUGAUGGUGCAGAUUUCUUGUAAUAUGUUGGAAUUUUGAAAACGUUAUCAAUCUUUUGAAUGUAUGCAUUUGAAUUUGUGUUCCCUUCUAUUUGUGAGAGGGGUUAGUCAAAUGAAAACAGCAGAUUCCAAUAUUAACAGCUAUGUAGUUACUUUCUGGGAUUAGAAAUCAUUUUUAUGGGAGCUUACAUGGUUAUCUGGUAAAUGAAAGAAAACUUAUGUAAGAUUCUUAUACGUAAUAUGAACUGCUAAGUGGCUGGCAAUAGAUUAAUUUUUCUACUGAAGUACAAUGGGCCAUGUUGAAACUGGUAUCUAGCCAUCAGGUGAAGUCUUAGGGUUAUGGUGUGAUCUGUUUUACUAAUUAUCAAAUUUGUGUAUGGAUGAUAGCCUAUGGCUGCAUUUGGAGUUCAAUCCGAAAUUAAUUUACUUGAUGUCUUCAGCAGUUAUUAACUGUGAAUGGCUUCCUUUCUUCUGCAUG